rnacentral:misc_RNA from 1 species
AACGCAUAUUGCGCUCGCGGCUUCGGCCAAGAGCAUGUCUGCCUCAGCAUCGGGUUAAUAUCACUACCUUACACAUAGUGCAAGGCAAGUGGAUCUGGCCGUCCCAGUGACUGGCGCCCAGGGGAUUGGUGCUUAACUGCGCCCUUUGCCUGUGUGCCUAUUCGAUCUGGGUCGGCUGAAAAGCAGAGCGCUGGCCAAGGACCCGCUAUGGGGCCGCAACUGGGUAGGUUACUUUCCCUUCGCGGGGAUUAUAACUAACGCUUAGUUGUUGGUCUUGGGACCCUUUGUGCCUGGCCCACAACCCAGGAAACCAACCUUAUUUCCUCGAUCUGAGCUCAGGCAAGAACACCCGCUGAACUUAA